rnacentral:rRNA from 1 species
UACAGAGGUCUCAAGCGUUGUUCGGAUUCAUUGGGCGUAAAGGGUGCGUAGGUGGCGCCGUAAGUCAGGGGUGAAAUCCUGGAGCUCAACUCCAGAACUGCCUUUGAUACUGAAGAUCUUGAGUUCGGGAGAGGUGAGUGGAACUGCGAGUGUAGAGGUGAAAUGCGUAGAGAUGUGGAGGAACACCAGUGGCGAAGGCGACUCUUUGGCCUGUAACUGACGCUGAGGCGCGAAAGCGUGGGGAGCAAACAGG